rnacentral:rRNA from 1 species
GACGUAGGGCGCGAGCGUUGUCCGGAUUUAUUGGGCGUAAAGAGCUCGUAGGCGGCUUGUCGCGUCGACUGUGAAAAUCCCGCGGCUCAACUGCGGGUCUGCAGUCGAUACGGGCAGGCUAGAGUUCGGUAGGGGGAGACUGGAAUUCCUGGUGUAGCGGUGAAAUGCGCAGAUAUCAGGAGGAACACCGGUGGCGAAGGCGGCCGCUCGUC